rnacentral:rRNA from 1 species
GAUCAAGCGUCAAAAGGGCGUUCAGGGAAUGCCUUGGCAGAUGCAGGCGAUGAAGGACGUGCCAUGCUGCGAAAAGCUUCGGGGAGUUGCAAGGAAACUUUGAUCCGAAGAUGUCCGAAUGGGGAAACCCACCUCUAAGCCUGAAUUGAUAAGGCCGUUCGCAAGAGCGGUCUUAAAUUUCAGGCUUUUUGACGAGGUAUUUUAGGGCUGAAUACAUAGGCCUUAAAAAGCGAACCCGGAGAACUGAAACAUCUCAGUACCCGGAGGAAAGGAAAUCAACCGAGACUCCGAAAGUAGUGGCGAGCGAAAUCGGACCAGGCCGUGCUCAGAUAUAACGGGAAGCUUCUGGAAAGGAGCGCCAUAGCGGGUGACAGCCCCGUACCGGUAAAAUGAAGAGCCGUUAGAGUAGGGCGGGACACGUGCAAUCCUGUCUGAAAAUGGGGGGACCACCCUCCAAGCCUAAGUACUCGCAUCUGACCGAUAGUGAACUAGUACCGUGAGGGAAAGGUGAAAAGCACCCCGACAAGGGGAGUGAAACAGACCUGAAACUGAGCGCCUACAAGCAGUCGGAGCCCAAGAUUCGUUCUGGGUGACGGCGUACCUUUUGUAUAAUGGGUCAGCGACUUAGUCUCACAAGCAAGCUUAAGCCGUUAGGUGUAGGCGAAGCGAAAGCGAGUCUUAAAAGGGCGAUUUAGUUUGUGGGAUUAGACCCGAAACCUUGUGAUCUAGUUAUGGGCAGAAUGAAGGUAAGGUAACACUUACUGGAGGUUCGAACCGGUGUCUGUUGAAAAAGACUCGGAUGACCUGUGACUAGGGGUGAAAGGCCAAUCAAACUGGGAGAUAGCUGGUUCUCCGCGAAAUCUAUUUAGGUAGAGCGUCGCACGAAUACCCUCGGGGGUAGAGCACUGGAUGGGCUAUGGGAACUUACCGUUCUACUGAUCCUAACCAAACUCCGAAUACCGAGGAGUACUAUGCGGCAGACACACGGCGGGUGCUAAGGUCCGUCGUGAAAAGGGAAACAGCCCUGACCGACAGCUAAGGUCCCCAAGUCAUGGCUAAGUGUGAAACGAUGUAGGAAUCCCAUAACAACCAGGAUGUUGGCUUAGAAGCAGCCAUCAUUUAAAGAAAGCGUAACAGCUCACUGGUCUAAUUAAGGGUUCCCGCGCGGAAAAUGUAACGGGGCUAAAGCCAUGCACCGAAGCUUCGGGCUUGCAGCAAUGCAAGCGGUAGCGGAGCGUUCUCUAAGCCGAUGAAGCCGGACUCGCGAGAGCCGGUGGAGGUAUGAGAAGUGAGAAUGCUGACACGAGUAGCGAUAAAGAGUGUGAGAGACACUCUCGCCGAAAGUCCAAGGGUUCCUGCGUAAAGCUAAUCUGCGCAGGGUUAGCCGGUCCCUAAGGCGAGGCCGAAAGGCGUAGUCGAUGGGAAUGCAGUGAAUAUUCUGCAGCCAGUGGAUGGUGACGAAUCCCGUAUGUUGUCCGACCUUAAUGGAUUGGUUGGGCCUCGAAGGGGUUCCAGGAAAUAGCCUCCACAUUAGACCGUACCCCAAACCGACACAGGUGGACUGGUAGAGUAUACCAAGGCGCUUGAGAGAAUGAUGUUGAAGGAACUCGGCAAUUUACCUCCGUAACUUCGGGAUAAGGAGGCCCAUUGCUCGCGCAAGCGGGUAGUGGGGGCACAGACCAGGGGGUGGCAACUGUUUAACAAAAACACAGGGCUCUGCGAAAUCGCAAGAUGACGUAUAGGGUCUGACGCCUGCCCGGUGCCGGAAGGUUAAAAGGAGAGGUGCAAGCCUUGAAUUGAAGCCCCGGUAAACGGCGGCCGUAACUAUAACGGUCCUAAGGUAGCGAAAUUCCUUGUCGGGUAAGUUCCGACCUGCACGAAUGGCGUAACGAUCGCCCCACUGUCUCCAACGCAGACUCAGCGAAACUGAAUUCUCCGUGAAGAUGCGGAGUACCCGCGGUUAGACGGAAAGACCCCGUGCACCUUUACUGUAGCUUUGCACUGGUAUUCGUGACUGUUUGUGUAGAAUAGGUGGUAGACUUUGAAGCUUCGGCGCCAGCCGAGGUGGAGUCGCAAUGUGAAAUACCACCCUAAUGGUUAUGGGUAUCUAACCGCCUUCCCUUAGCGGGAAUCGGGACAGUGCAUGGUGGGCAGUUUGACU